rnacentral:rRNA from 1 species
GUAGGUGGCAAGCGUUGUCCGGAAUUAUUGGGCGUAAAGCGCGCGCAGGUGGUUCUUUAAGUCUGAUGUGAAAGCCCCCGGCUCAACCGGGGAGGGUCAUUGGAAACUGGGGAACUUGAGUGCAGGAGAGGAAAGUGGAAUUCCACGUGUAGCGGUGAAAUGCGUAGAUAUGUGGAGGAACACCAGUGGCGAAGGCGACUUUCUGGCCUGUAACUGACACUGAGGCGCGAAUGCGUGGGGAGCAAACAGGGAUUAGAUACCCUGGUAGUCCACGCCGUAAACGAUGAGUGCUAAGUGUUGGGGGGGUUUCCGCCCCCUCAGUGCUGCAGCUAACGCAUUAAGCACUCCGCCCUGGGAGUACGGUCGCAAGACUG